UACGGGGGGGGCAAGCGUUGUUCGGAAUUACUGGGCGUAAAGGGCUCGUAGGCGGCCAACUAAGUCAGACGUGAAAUCCCUCGGCUUAACCUGGGAACUGCAUCCGAUACUGGAUGGCUUGAAUCCGGGAGAGGGAUGCAGAAUUCCAGGUGUAGCGGUGAAAUGCGUAGAUAUCUGGAGGAAUACCGGUGGCGAAGGCGGCAUCCUGGACCGGCAUUGACGCUGAUGAGCGAAAGCUAGGGGAGCAAACGGG
rnacentral:rRNA from 1 species